UGGGGAAUUUUGCACAAUGGGGGAAACCCUGAUGCAGCGACGCCGCGUGAUUUAGAAGGCCUUCGGGUUGUAAAAAUCUUUUCUAUGGGAAGAAAAUGACAGUACCAUAGGAAUAAGGACCGGCUAAUUACGUGCCAGCAGCCGCGGUAAUACGUAAGGUCCGAGCGUUGUCCGGAAUCAUUGGGCGUAAAGGGUACGUAGGCGGGUAAGCAAGUUAGAAGUGAAAUCCUAUAGCUCAACUAUAGUAAGCUUUUAAAACUGCUCAUCUUGAGGUAUGGAAGAGAAAGUGGAAUUCCUAGUGUAGCGGUGAGAUGCGCAGAUAUUAGGAGGAAUACCGGUGGCGAAGGCGACUUUCUGGCCAUAACCUAACGCUGAAGUACGAAAGCGUAGGUAGCAAACAGG
rnacentral:rRNA from 1 species